AGUUUGAUCCUGGCUCAGGAUGAACGCUGGCGGCGUGCCUAAUACAUGCAAGUCGAACGAAUCUCUUUUAGAGAUGAGUGGCGAACGGGUGAGUAAUACAUAGGUAACCUGCCCCUGUGCGGGGGAUAACAGGAGGAAACUCCUGCUAAUACCGCAUAGCCAUGAGCACCGCAUGGAGCUCAUGCCAAAUAUCCUUUAUGGGAUAGCGCAGGGAUGGACCUAUGGCGCAUUAGCUGGUUGGCGGGGCAACGGCCCACCAAGGCAACGAUGCGUAGCCGGCCUGAGAGGGCGGACGGCCACAUUGGGACUGUGACACGGCCCAGACUCCUACGGGAGGCAGCAGUAGGGAAUUUUCGGCAAUGGGGGAAACCCUGACCGAGCAACGCCGCGUGAGCGAAGAAGGCCUUCGGGUCGUAAAGCUCUGUUGUAAAGGAAGAACGGCGCAUACAGGAAAUGGUAUGCGAGUGACGGUACUUUACCAGAAAGCCACGGCUAACUACGUGCCAGCAGCCGCGGUAAUACGUAGGUGGCGAGCGUUAUCCGGAAUCAUUGGGCGUAAAGAGGGAGCAGGCGGCCGCAAGGGUCUGUGGUGAAAGCCCGAAGCUAAACUUCGGUAAGCCAUGGAAACCGGGCGGCUAGAGUGCGGAAGAGGAUCGUGGAAUUCCAUGUGUAGCGGUGAAAUGCGUAGAUAUAUGGAGGAACACCAGUGGCGAAGGCGACGGUCUGGGCCGCAACUGACGCUCAUUCCCGAAAGCGUGGGGAGCAAAUAGGAUUAGAUACCCUAGUAGUCCACGCCGUAAACGAUGGUCACUAAGUGUCGGGGGUCAAACCCCGGUGCUGCAGUCAACGCAAUAAGUGACCCGCCUGAGUAGUACGUUCGCAAGAAUGAAACUCAAAGGAAUUGACGGAAGG
rnacentral:rRNA from 1 species